CCUUCUCCUGAAUUCACUGAAACUUUACUCACAGAAUUGUUUUUCCAGACUGAAAGGCUUCAAACCUGCAUCUCAUUUUUCUGCCUCUCCAAAAGCUCUCCUCUUAUGGUUCUGAGCUGUGAUCUUUCCUUCUCUAAGAAGUCUGCCCUUGCUACUCCAAACUCCCCUCACAUGUGACAUAAAAGGACUGCCUUGGUCAGAGCAGGAAGAGAAUAUGCAAUUGCUUGUCACAGAGCAUUCAUGCCCCACAUGAGUAACUGAGACCCUGAGAUGCAUGACUUCCAGGUGGGAAGAAUGAGAAGGCUGGCAGGAGUUGGUCCAGGGUACUUAUAAAGGAUAUAGGGGGUCAAAAGUGGCCUGUGGAAGUUACUACUUUUCCAGUAAGUGUUGAAGGUAUCAAAAGUUCAGAGGAGGAAGAGAAAGGGCAACUUAUAUUUUUAAAUCCCGUAACAGAUUACAAGGUGCAUACGUUAAUCCCCAAACCCACCGAAUCACAACAGAUCCUAUACUCUCCAUUUUGCAGUGCAACAUUUUUAAGUUAAGACACAGAUUCCGGGUUUAAAAUCUGGCUGCGUCUUACUAGCUGUGUGAUCCUGGGCAACUUCACCUUCCAAAGGCUCCGUUUCCUCGUUGGUGUGGUGGGCGUGCUGUGAGGGUUGCUGGGGGGCACACAGUGCCUGGCAAGUGGCUUACACGCUGAGUAUUAGCCACUACUAUUUAGUGCAGGUGAGAGAGCCCAGUGCCUAUUCACACAGCUGGUGGGGCGUGGAUGUGGGACUCAGGGCUAGAUGUGGUCACUGGCUGUUUAGGACAGGCUUAAUUGCUACAAAGUUCUUGGCCUCCUUUUUUCAGAGGGAGAAAGGGACUUGGGGCGGGGGUACGUAUGGAGCCCACAGCUGGCAAGGGCCCCGUCGGGCGCCCGGCACUUACGAGGUGCGGAUGCUCCUGAGGCGGCCCUUGUGGAACGUGAUGGUGGCAUUGCGGCAGCAGCGGCUCUCGUAGUAGUAGCACUGGAGGUUGCUGCUGGUCGUGCAGCAGCACUUGCAGUUGGGGUCAUUGGCCCAGGAGCAGCAGCACCAGUGGCAGUUGGGGUUCUCAGAGCAGGUGCAGUGGCAGCACUGGCAAUUGCGCUCAUCUUUGUAAGGGCAGGGGAAGCAGGUGCAGUUCCGCUCUGAGGUGAAGAGGAACUUGCAGCACAGACAGGAGCAUAGCUGAGGACAACAUCUCUGCCAUGUACAACAUGGAGAGCAAACACACAUGGCAGUCUCCAUGGCGCCUACAUGAUGGCUACCGGCUGCCCAGAGCUCUUGACGCCUUCUCUACCAGAAUCCUGUGGGCUCCCAGGCAGGAGUCCCUCCUCCCUCUGAUGAAGUCCUCGGCUUGGAGGUUGCAAGAGGUUGGCUGUUGUGAGACCUUUACAGGCGGCGUCCCUACUAGGAAGCUCCUGGGUUGGCAUUUACCUGUAUCAGCCUGAGGCCAUUUGCUUAUGUCACAAUCCCUGUCUCCCCACCAUGUCUCACCAUGCUGAGUGGGUGAGAUGUUGGGGCUAGUGGCAGGGGCCGCUGAAGGACACUCCAUGCUUCCACAGGAUCAGGUCCAGAGUAGGGUUGAUGCAAACAGCAUCCUGGAGCUUCAUGGUGUUUGGCUGAGGCUCAAGCUGUUUUCCUCCCCGUGAUCUCCCUUUUAUCAAGCGGCUGGAACUCUACAUGAUCAUCUUUAACUUUGCUUUUAGCAUAUGCUCAGUAUUUCUAGAAAUGGCCUUAUAUUUUAGGGGAGAAUUUCGCUUUCCUUUACUUUAUGCAGCUUGCAAAGAUUAAAAGAGAAAGGUUUCAUGAUCAUACUACCCUAUGGUAUAAACACUGUCUCAGUAUUUUUCCAAAAGGGAGCAGAAGUGAGAGCUGAAUUUGGCUGUAGGAGUUUAUUGUGUAAUUUAUUAUCUCUCCCUGUGAUUAUCACCUUUAUAUUAGGAAAGAACAUUCACUGAGUGCUAACUGUGCCAGCCACACAUUGAUUUCAAGUUCCUACAAAUGGAAAUUCUGGAUCAUAGGGCACAGAGGUUUGAGUUUUACUCCUGGAUUUAUACCACUGAAAAGUCCCAGAAACCAUGACUUAACCAGUAGUAAUGAGCCCUCCGUCUCCUGGACUGUGGUCCUGAAUAUUACUGAAAAGAAGCCAGGCUCUUUGAAGAAAUGGAUGAUACCAGAUGUGGGGCAGGAAAUGUACAAGAAAAGAUGAAUCUAGGCAAUAUUAUCGGUGACUGCUAAUAGCACAAGAGGGACAGCCAGACAUUGUGUGCUCCGGAUGGAAGUAUACAGCACCACCGAUGAAGUGUUCUUGCAAAGAGUUCCAGCCUGAAUCUGAUCAAGCUUCUAGAUCUAAAUACCAGUUGUUGGGGACAAGAUGAUAUUGGGGGACGUGUGAAGUGCUUUGAAGGCUGCCAACAAAAUGCCAAGUCAGCCCAUUGACAGAAAAAGGAAGAGAAACCUUUGGAAAAUACAUUAUUGUUUCGCAUUAGCUUACUUUCCGUCUGAAUCUGAGCACCUGACCUGAGGAAGGAGCGUGAACAUAGAAUGGCGAAUUUGUUCUAGGACAGUGAGUGAUCUGAGAGUGUUGGGAAGAGGGAGCUAUGCUGCGUAGACCAGAAGGCAGGGCAAUGGAGGAAUGGAUACAAUAGAUGCAGAAAAAAACAUUUGAGAAAAUACAACAACAUGUGAUGAAAACUCUCAGGAAACCAGGGAUAAAUGGAAUUUCCUCAACCUGACAGAGCAUUUAUGAAAGACCUGCAGUUAACAUCAUAUUUACUGGUGAAAGAUUGAAUAAUUUCCCUCUAGGUUGGGAAAUAAGGGAAAGCAUGACCACUUUCACCACAUCUAUUUGACAUUGUACAGAAGUCAUAGCCAGUGCAAUAAGACAGGAAAAAGAAGUAAGAGAUAACAUAUAUUGGGAAAGAAAUAAACUGUAUUCCCAGAUGACAUAAUUGUCUCCAUAGAAAAUCUUAAUAAAUCUAUUAAAAAGCUAUUAGAACAAUUAAGUAAUUUUAUAGGCUUAUAGGACAUAGGGUCAAAAUGUACAAAAUGUACAAAAAUAAAUUGUAUUUCCCUAUAUUAGCAACAAAAGUAUCAGACUUGAAAUUAAUAAUGCCUUUUAAAAUAACAUCAAAAAUAUAAAAUCAUUUAGAGAAAAUAUAAAAUAUUUAUGGAAAACAUUUACACACAAAAUCUGUACAUAUUGAAUAUAUUUUUAGUGUACUGAAAAAUAUUUGCUGAGAAAAAUUUUUAAAGACUUAAGAGACUUCCAGUUUAUGGUUCUGUAGUAAAGAUAUUGGAAGUCUCCACUCUGUCCUAACAACAGGUAAAAAGCUAAAUGAGCAAAAAAUCAACAACUCUUCUUAGAUCCAUAGGAGAGGGGAGGACACAGGACACAGGGCCAGUUACUAUACCCAAGACUUGUGAGGCAGACAUGCAAAUGCAGGGAGUCAUGACUAGAAGCCAGCACAGGAACCAGUGCCGGGGUAGGAAACCCUGAACUAUAAUUGACAAACUGCUGGAGAUCAGUGUGGACAAGUAUGAGAGUUAAAAACUCCAGGAGGACCCCAGUCAUAGGGGAGGAUCUCAUAAUUCUAUGAGAUUUAUCUCUAGGAGUUAGACUACUUUCCCACAGUAAAUAUCCAGGAAAAGCCCCCUUGUGAUUCUGGCAGGCAGAAGGGAAAAGGAAUCAUUUUGAAAUAUGCCUGGGUACUCUGUUCUUAACAAGGUCUGCACUCAGGGGAAACUAGUUAACCAGAGCUUAACUUGCUGGGGUAUUUUGCAGACUGACUGGGGGAAAGGGAGAGCACGAGUUCUAACUGGCUGUAGCAGUCUUGUCCCACCUCAGGUGGGGAAGAAAAAACCAAGAAACGCAUGUGAAGUUCAAAGUCAAGAGGCCCAGGCUCACUAAAAGAUUAAGACCUAAUCACAGGACUGUAGAAAGCUUUUGCUCCCAUCACACCUCAUGACCACAUUACUAAAGGCCUAUUUACAGCAGUUCCUUCUACCCAGUACAUCAUAUCCAGCUAUCAAGAAAAAAAUCACAAGGCAUACCAAGAGGCAAAAAACACACUUUGAGAGACAGAGCAAGCAUCAGAACCAGACAUGUCAGGGAUGUUGGAAUUAUCACACCAAGGAUUUAAAAUGAUUAUAAUAUUUUAUUUUAUUUUAUUUUAUUUUAUUUUAUUUUAUUUUAUUUUAUUUUUUUAUGUUAUGUUAUGUUAUGUUAUGUUAUGUUAUGUUAAGGGAAGCUAAUGGAUAAAAUAGACUUUAUGCAAGAACAGAUGGUAUAUGUAAGCAGAGACAUCGAAGUCAUAAGAAAGAACCAAAAAGAAAUGCUAGCGAUGAAGAACACUGUAAGAGAAAUUUAGAUUGCUUUGAUGGGCUUAUUAGUAGAUUGGAUACAGCUGAGGAAAGAAUCUGUAGCUAGAGGCAAUUUCAGUGGAGUCCUUCAAGACUGAAAAGCAAAGAGAACAAAGACUGGAAAAAACGGAACAGGAUAUCCAAGGACUAUAGGACAACUACAAAAGGUAUAAAAUACAAAUAAUGGUAGUACCAGGAGGGAAGGGAGAUUGAAAGGAACAGAAAAAAUAUUUUAAGCAAUAGUGACAGAAAAUUUCCCAAAUUAAUGUCAGGCAUCAAACCACAGAUCCAGAAAGCUUAGAAAACACCAAGCAGGAUAAAUGCCAAAAAGCUACACAUAGGCAUAUUAUUUUCAAACUACAGAAAAUCAAAGAUAAUGAAAAAUUCUGAAAGAAGCCAGAGGGGGAAGAAAUCUUAUCUAUAAAAGAACAAGAUUACAUCUGAUGUCUCAGAAACCAUGAGAGCAAGGAGAGUGUAGUGAAAUAUUUAAAAUCUUGAGGAAAAAAAUUGACCUAGAAUUCUGUACCCUGUGAAAUUAUCCUUCAAAAGUGAAGGAGAAAUUAAGACUUUCUCAGACAAACAGAAAUUGAGAGAAUGUGUUUCCAGUAUACCUUGCAAGAAAUGUUAAAAGAAGUUUUUUAGAGAGAGGAAAAAUAGUACAAAGAUCAGUAACUUGGAUCUAAACAAGAAUACUGAGGAAGGAAAAUAUUGAAGAAGGAAUACAUGAAGGUAAAAUAAAGACUUAUUUUUCUUAUUUUUAAUUGAUCUAAUAGGUAACAGUUCAUUUAAAAUGACUUGUGUCAUAGGGGCGCCUGGGUGGCUUAGCUGGUGAAGCAUCUGACUUCAGCUCAGAUCAUGA